GGGGGGUCCCCAUCACAUACUAAAACUGAAAUAAAACAAGGAGGAUCAGGAUGGCCACCACACAAGGAUGACACACAAGUUAGUGAAAUAUUCCAUAUUUUC